CUCUCUUUAUCCUGCAAGGAAGCUCUGCAGGAAACUCUCCAAGAGGACAAUAAGCCCCCUUGCCUUUGCAAAAACAUUUUAAUACCUGUUAUUUUCAGCUGAGUCCCGCACAGAUCGGCAGCACCGGUUUUGAAGGCCACGUGUACUCCAGAUUCUUGUCACCAACGGUACCACUGCUCCGCCUUGAAUGCUGUCUCCCCUGAGCUGUGAGUCCCAGGGCAGAUGCUACCCUUCUCACCCUGUGUCCCAGCUCCAGUCACACCCACUGGUCCAAUGUGGGCUGGCACAGAAGACUGCAGGCCUGGGGGUGCCCAGCACUGGGACUGGAGAUCAGAACACCUGACUUCAAAGUCUGGUUUGAGCACUUUCUAGCUGUGUGCCCUUGGGCAAGGAGACUGGUCCUUUGCCCAGAUCCCACAGCCAGAGAGGGGCGAGGCAGGAUGGAAACCCUGGUCUGUGUCCCUCGGAGCCUGGGCCCUGGGAUGUGUGAGUCUCUUCUGGCUUCUGUAACAAAUGACCACUAACUGGCUAGAGACAGCACAACUGUAGCAUCUUACAGUUCCGGAGCUCAGGAGUCGGAAACGGGCCUUGCCUGGCUAAAAUCAAGGUGUCAGCCGGAAGGCGCUCUCCCUGGAGGCUCUAGGGGAGAAAGUUGUUUCUUGCCUUUUCCAGCUUUUAGAGGCUGCCUGCAUUCCUUGGCUCAUAGCCGCCUCUUCCAUGUUCAAGGCCAGCAAUGGAGCAUCCUUAAAUCUCCCUUUCUGACUCUGGCCGUCCUGUCUCCCUCUUAUGAGGACCCUUGUGAUGACACUGGCUCCUCCAGAUCAGCCAGGAUCACCUCCCCACUUGGAGAUCCUUGACUUCCUCACAUCUGUAAAGUCCCUUCUGCCGUGUGACAUAUAAGGAGGCCAAGAUGCGUCUGAUCUUUAAAAGACUAAAGCCCCCCAAACAAGUCUGAGGAGACUCCUGGCUUGUUUUUAUUUUGGCCAGGAAAGUUUUCCAAUAUCCCUGGCCUUCAGGCUUGUCCCCUAGGAGGAUGGAGGGACUGAGCUGGGGAGAUGUCUGUGAAUGGGGGUGGGGUGGAUUCACAGGUUUCAGGGGUUAGAACGCCAGUGUCUUUGGGACCCAUUAUUCUGCCUUCCACUGCGUGGAUGAUGGGAAAGCUCCUGGUUCCAGGGCGCAAACUUAGCCUGGCUCUUUGGCCUCUCUGUGCCUCAGUUUAUAUAAUGAGGGUGAGGAGAAUAUCUGUUGGGGUUGUUGAAGUAGUGAAGGAGUUGGUAAUUGAAAAGUGCUAAGCAUAUGCCAGGCACUGUGGACACAUGCGCUGUACCUUUUGGGAGGGCACAUCCCUCCCCCACCUGCUACCACCCCACCCAGGCUGGCAUGCAGUGGUGCAAUCACAGCUCACUGCAGCCUUGACUUUCCGGGGCUUAAGUCAUCCUCCCACCUCAGCCUCCGGAGUAGCUGGGACCACAGGUGCACACCAUUACACCCAGCUAAUUUUUAAAUUUUUUGUAGAGACGGGGUUUUGCCAUGUUGUCUAGGCUGGAAGUCCAUCUGACAUUGAAGUUCUCUUUCAGUUUUGACAUCUGAUCCAUCUAGGGCUGUGUGUGUGUGACAGUGUGUGUGUGAUUGUGUGUGUGUGUAUGAUUGUGUGUGUGUAUGAUUGUGUGUGUGUGUAUGUGUGCACAUGUCUUUAUGGGGAUUGAGGGUGGGUGGAACAGAGACUGGGAGAGACACUUUGUGAAAUGUUUAUAUUUUAUGCCUUUUGAUGUAAUUCCAACUAGAUCUUAAAUCAUGCAGCAGGAAGCUCCUUAAAAUUUUUAAUUUGUUGUUUUUCUUAGAAAUGAUUAUUUCCACAUUGCGCCCAGAGACACUCGUGCCUCGUCCUGCCUCCCAUCCUUGUGCUGUUCUAAAAGGUCCCCAGGCGGUGGUUGUUUACUGCUGCCAAUCAGGUGGGCUUUGCACAAACCAUGCUUUGGGCCCACCCUGUCGUUCUGUGAAGCUGUAAUAUCUUUGGGAAGAUUUUUAUAGCUUGUCCCACAUAGGCUGGGGCUGGGAUAUUUAGAAGAAGGCCAACCUGUAGAUUCCUUGCUAAAAACCACAUGGUAUUUUACAAGACGGGUUGAGAGGGAGAGCUGGGGCUGGGUGUGGGGCGGCAUAGAGCUGGAUUCUUGGGGAAU
rnacentral:lncRNA from 1 species